rnacentral:rRNA from 1 species
AUACGUAGGGGGCGAGCGUUGUCCGGAAUGAUUGGGCGUAAAGGGCGCGUAGGCGGCGCGGUAAGUCUGGAGUGAAAGUCCUGCUUUCAAGGUGGGAAUUGCUUUGGAUACUGCCGCGCUUGAGUGCAGGAGAGGUUAUCGGAAUUCCCGGUGUAGCGGUGAAAUGCGUAGAGAUCGGGAGGAACACCAGUGGCGAAGGCGGGUAACUUGACUGCAACGGACGCUGAGGCGCGAAAGUGUGGGGAGCAAGCAGGAUUAGAUACCCUGGUAGUCCACACUGUAAACGAUGAAUGCUAGGUGUAAGAGGUAUCGACCCCUUUUGUGCCGGAGUCAACACAAUAAGCAUUCCGCCUGGGGAGUACGGCCGCAAGGUUGAAACUCAAAUGAAUUGGCGGGG